rnacentral:lncRNA from 1 species
UUCUAGCCACCACGUUACUUUCUAGAGUUAAGAAUGUUGAUAAUCUUUUCAUCCUUGAUAGAAAAAUCUCAUCUCAACUUUUCCACAACCACUUUCGCAGGACCCUAGAAAAUGAUAAAAAAGUAUAGAAAUGAAAGAAGUGUCGAUUGUUACCUUUGAAAAAGAGUAAUCCUCGAUGAACGUAGGAAUUUGACCAUAGAACGCCAUUAGGGACUUCAGAACGGUAAAUGAGAAAAAAGUGUAACAAGGGGUGGAGUCAAAAGCAAGAAGAACG